AUUGAACGCUGGCGGCAGGCCUAACACAUGCAAGUCGAGCGAGCGGCGGACGGGUGAGUUAUGUCUGGGAAACUGCCUGAUGGAGGGGGAUAACUACUGGAAACGGUAGCUAAUACCGCAUACCAUCAGAGGUGCCCAGAUGGGAUUAGCUAGUAGGUGGGGUAACGGCUCACCUAGGCGACGAUCCCUAGCUGGUCUGAGAGGAUGACCAGCCACACUGGAACGGAGACCGGGUCCAGACUCCUCCGUGAGGCGGCAGGGGGGAAUAUUGCACAAUGGGCGCUAUCCUGAUGCAGCCAUGCCGCGUGUGUGAAGAGGGCCUUCGGGUUGUAAAGCACUUUCAGCGGGGAGGCGUUACCCGCAGAAGAAGCACCGGCUAACUCCGUGCCAGCCGCCGCGGUAAUUC
rnacentral:rRNA from 1 species